rnacentral:rRNA from 1 species
UACGGAGGGUGCAAGCGUUAUCCGGAAUCACUGGGUUUAAAGGGUGCGUAGGCGGUUUAAUAAGUCAGAAGUGAAAAGUCCGAGCUUAACUGGGGCCUUGCUUUUGAUACUGUUAGACUUGAAACAGGCUGAGGUUAGCGGAAUGUGUCAUGUAGCGGUGAAAUGCAUAGAUAUGACAUAGAACACCAAUUGCGAAGGCAGCUGGCUAGACCUUGUUUGACGCUGAGGCACGAAAGCGUGGGGAGCGAACAGG